rnacentral:rRNA from 1 species
UACAGAGGGGGCAAGCGUUGUUCGGAAUUACUGGGCGUAAAGGGCGCGUAGGCGGCCUUCUAAGUCGAACGUGAAAUCCCCGGGCUCAACCCGGGAACUGCGUCCGAUACUGGAAGGCUUGAAUCCGGGAGAGGGGGGUGGAAUUCCCAGUGUAGCGGUGAAAUGCGUAGAUAUUGGGAGGAACACCGGUGGCGAAGGCGGCCCCCUGGACCGGUACUGACGCUGAGGCGCGAAAGCGUGGGUAGCAAACGGG